rnacentral:rRNA from 1 species
GAUAGAAACUGACCUGGCUCUCACCGGUCUGAACUCAGAUCACGUAGGAUUUUAAUGGUCGAACAGACCAACCCUUGGAAACUGCUGCAUCUCCUGGACAUCCCGAUCCAACAUCGAGGUCGCAAACUUUUUUAUCAAUAUGAACUCUCCAAAAAAAUUACGCUGUUAUCCCUGCGGUAACUUGUUCCUUUGCUCACUCCGUGUGGAUCCAAAAUACAUAUAGAAUAUACUACAAAGAGGUUACUUUACAAUAUUAACUUUAUAACGGAGGCUAUAUUUUCUCCGCGAUUGCCCCAAUCAAAAUAAAAACAGCACAACACACUCAUACCUUACAUAAAAACAACCACCUUAACUAAAGUGAAAAUUAGUAUAACAAUACUUCCAGCACUUACUGCCAUUACUUAAGCUCGACAGGGUCUUCUCGUCCUACGACCUAAUCUUUGCUUCUUCACAAAAAAAUUAAAUUCAAUUCCUCCUUAAGAGAGAGACAGUCAAACCCCCGUCUUGCCAUUCAUACCAGCCUCUAUUUAAGAGGCAAAUGAUUAUGCUACCUUUGCACGGUCAAAAUACCGCGGCCGUUUAACUGAAAGUCACUGGGCAGGCAGGACUCCUCAUAUAUCAAAAUAUUUUACGAAGAGCGAUGUUUUUGGUAAACAGGCGAAAUUUAAACUUGCCGAAUUCCUUUCCCUUAAUUUUAUAACUAAUUUAUACCCCCUGAGUUGGAAGACAAUCUUCAUAAAAGCCAUUUCUUGAACCAAUCACUUUUAUUCAUCCAAAAUUAGAAUUGCUUAAUCCUCAAAAAGUAUUCACUAAAUCUACUAAUUCCAGCAUCAUAACUUCCAAAACAAAUGAAAAUUCUCAAUACCACUUUCCACAAUAUAGGAUUAUUACCUAAAAUUUUCUAUAAAACCUUAAAAAGAAAAAGCUUUAACACCCUUAAAAAAGAUAGAUACCACUAAUCCUACUAAAACUUUAACAGUAAAAUAUUAAAUCACAUUAUUAUCCUUUAUUUGCAGUAAAAGUUUUUUCUUCCUUGACAUAAGAGCUUAUCCCCUUAUGUCUCUACAGCACACUAUUUAUUUUUAUGACUUUAAACUUUAUCCCGAAAGAUGGUAACCACAAAAUAAACGUGAACUUUCAACUAAUACCAAUUUCUCAAGAAACCAGCUAUCACUGGACACGAUAAGCAUUUCACACCUAAUAUACCCUCCAAUCUCACUAUUGCAACAGUGAAAACUUAACCUCUAAAAGGUAGAGUAUACUAGCUCGUCCAACUUCGGGAAACAAAAAUACCAUUUGACUCUUCUUACUAAACCAUUAUACAAAAGGUACAGGCCUUAAACCCUUCUUCUCUUAUUAUAACUUUUCACACUAUUUCAGUAUUCCUUCACAGUACUUUCACUAUAGCUUUACCCCCAAUUUCUCACACAAAUACUUUCUAAACCCCUAGCCAAAACAAUAUUUUGUCCAAACUAUAUUACAGAAAAUUAAAACAAGAAUAAUAUUUACCUCAAAGCUAACUACUUAAA